rnacentral:misc_RNA from 1 species
UGAUCAGAUUCACUGGUUUUCCAUAGUUAAUUCCUUGAUGAUUGUCCUUUUCCUCUCGGGUAUGGUGGCCAUGAUUAUGUUGAGGACACUCUACCGUGAUAUUUCUAAAUAUAAUCAACUGGAGACCCAAGAAGAAGCUCAAGAAGAGACUGGUUGGAAACUAGUCCAUGGUGAUGUUUUCAGGCCUCCAUUAAAAUCUGAUUUACUUUGCGUGUAUGUCGGCACAGGUGUUCAGUUUUUUGGCAUGAGUCUUGUCACCAUAAUAUUUG